ensembl:snRNA U6 U6 spliceosomal RNA
GUGCUCACUUCGACAGCACAUACACUAAAAUUGGAAUGAUACAGAGAUUAGCAUGGUCCCUGCACAAGGAUGACACGCAAAUUCAUGAAGCAUUCCAUAUUUUU